GAUGAAGAACGUAGCGAAAUGCGAUAAGUAAUGUGAAUUGCAGAAUUCAGUGAAUCAUCGAAUCUUUGAACGCACAUUGCGCCCGUCAGUAUUCUGGCGGGCAUGCCUGUUCGAGCGUCAUUACGCCCCUCAAGUCCCCUGUGGACUUGGUGUUGGGGAUCGGCGAGGCUGGUUUUCCAGCACAGCCGUCCCUUAAAUUAAUUGGCGGUCUCGCCGUGGCCCUCCUCUGCGCAGUAGUAAAACACUCGCAACAGGAGCCCGGCGCGGUCCACUGCCGUAAAACCCCCCAACUUUUUAUAGUUGACCUCGAAUCAGGUAGGACUACCCGCUGAACUUAAGCAUAUCAAUGAGCGGAGGA
rnacentral:misc_RNA from 1 species